rnacentral:rRNA from 1 species
UACGAAGGGGGCUAGCGUUGUUCGGAAUCACUGGGCGUAAAGGGCGCGUAGGCGGCUUUAUAAGUCGGGGGUGAAAGCCUGUGGCUCAACCACAGAAUUGCCUUCGAUACUGUAGAGCUUGAGACCGGAAGAGGUAAGUGGAACUGCGAGUGUAGAGGUGAAAUUCGUAGAUAUUCGCAAGAACACCAGUGGCGAAGGCGGCUUACUGGUCCGGUUCUGACGCUGAGGCACGAAAGCUAGGGUAGCGAACGGG